GCCUCGGAAGUGAAAAGAAUAAGAAGCAUAAAAGCUUCUGGGAAAGGGGGGAGAAGGGAGCUGCCCUUUGGGGCAGCUCGCACAGACGCAGGAAGGAGGCGCGGACAGAACAGAAAAGAAAAGAAAAGCUGCCUUUGCAGCUGAGCAGCGCAGGAAAGCACAGCGAGACUGUGCGGUAAAAUAACGCUGCCUUUGGCAGCCUUGAAAACAAAAACCGAAGAGGACAGAAAAGUAGAGUGGCGCAGAAAAUAAGAGGGAGCACCGAGAGGUGAGCAGCGAGAGGUGACGUGGGGCAGAGGAGAAGAGCUGCCAUUUGGCAGCUUGAGCAUGGAGGCAAGUCAGAAAACAGAGAAGUCAGACAGACAGAAGCAGCAAGCACUCUCCUCUCUCUCGGUUAAAUCUUUCCCACUUAUAUUUUACUUUUGGUUUAUUUGUGUUUUAAUAAUGUGUAACUAAUUUUAUUUUGGCUAGAGGUUAAUUCAAAGCUAUGAAUAUAUUUAUAAUAUGAAUUGAUUACCUUCAGUUGUGAUUUCUGAGUUGUGAUUUAAUUUGCUUAACUGCUUGAUUUAUAACUUAUUUUUGUAUGUCGAUUAAGGAUGCAUACUUAAUUUACAUGCAUGAAUUUGAUGCUAGAAUAUAAGUGAAUUUCACCUAAUCGUUAUGAACUUAUAUUCACAAGUAGUGAAGGUUGCUAGUCACAAUCACGUUAAGUAAAUUCUUGGCAUAAGUUUCAUGCAAUUCAUAGUAACAAGUGCCUCGUCAAUGCUUAUGAUUUUCAUAGAACUUAAUGAUUCUUGCUUGUAUCUCUAUUAUGCAAUUCAUGUAGGGAACUUGUGGGAAAUGUUUUGGGUUGUCGUAUGCAAUCAUCCAAUCCAUUAACUUAAGGAAAAUCUGAGAAUUAAUCUAUGCAAUUCAUGGUUAAUUUGGGGCAUUGAAAAUUCAUAACUUAUUGAAAGAACAACUGAAAAUCAAUUUAGGUUGCAUAUAUGUCAUGUGUGGAGAAGAACCCUCUAGCUAGUCCGUCAUCUAUCAUUUUACCUUAAUUUUAUGUUUUUGUCAAUUCUGUAAUUUAAUUAAGUUUAAUUUACUUUUCAUCAAAACCAAACACCCAUCCAUUAUUAAAUUAUAUUAUUUAGUUAGUUUUCUUUAUUGUUAGUCUUUUAAUUUAAUUUCCGUCCAUUUCAGUUCCUAGUGUUUAAUUUAAUUGUUUUCAUUAUUUUGAGUCAUUUUAAGUGUGUUUCGAGUUAUUAGAGUUUUUAGCCUAGUUUUGUGUCCUUGAGUCUUGUUUAAUAUUUUUAAAUUAAUUUAGAGUAGAUUAGCAAUCCCUCCUAAUCCCCGGCCUAGAACGAUACCCUACUUACAUCUAUACUACAAUUGUCAAAAAGAGGGUUUAAUUUGUGUGUCAAGUAAUUCACGCAUCACUAACCAAGCGAAACAAUCAUAUUGUACAUACUAAGAAACCAGCUAUACAGUUGUCGCUAGUACAAAUACUACAAGAACAUUCAUUACAGCCAGCAGCUGACUCGUGUCUGAGACAUCUGGAGAAUUGACUUAUAUACAAGUUAGAAAAUUUGUAAAAUGUAGCCCGUAUAGAUCCACAAUUACCAAAAGGUCAACCUUUGGAUUGUCUACUUAUUUGAGACAUUCAAACAAGUUGUGAUAUAAAUCCAGAAAAAUCCACUGGGAAAGGAAAUAGGCCAUAUUCUCUUACAUUGGCUGCCUUGUCCUUGGAAUGCAGCGCGAAAACCCUCCUUAUGGCGGAAAACCAACUCCUUUUAUUUCCCAUGCUCCUAGCAUUAGCGUUCCUGCCUGAAAGGAAUAUGAAAGAGCCUUUGAGAAAGUUAUAUUUUGCAAUAGUUUAUGGAUUCAUUCAAAACUCCAACUCGGUGCUUCUACGCUGCUCUACUAUAUAUUUGAGUACAUAAUCUACUAUGUAAUUAAGUAGAAUUGUGAAUUAAUUGUAUAGUUGAACACAAGUACAAACACCCUUGAAAGAGAAAUUAAGGACAUCAUCAUCGUUCCUUCUUUAAUUUCCUUAAUAAUAAAUUAAGAAAAAACAGACAAACCAAACAACAAACAAUCUUCUCACUCCUACAACCAUGAAAUCAAGAGGGAGGGAGGGAGGGAGGGAGGGAUCCCAAGAAGAAAGAAUUCACAGAAGAAUCACAUAACAAGUCAGAACUCAGAACAAUUCUCGGCCAGUAAUACUCUUUUCUUUUUUAAUUUCAUUUUCUUAUAAUUAAAUUAAAUUAAUUAAAACUCAGAACCAUUUAUAUGCAUCUCCUCCUCCAAGACAUAAAACAUAUUAAAUAAACCCAAAAGUUAUUAAAAUAAAGAUAAUUAGAUGGAGCGACAGAUAGAGUAAGAUGAUGAUUCGAGUAAGGAAUCUGUACGUUAUAUAUCCUCAUCUCCUCCUCCUCCAAGAUGACUAACCAAGCUUCCAAAGACAGCACUCGGCCGAAUCCCUUUAAAAAGCAGCUGCUGCUGCUACAACUAAAAGGACAGACAGAGGGAGAGAGAGAGAGAGAGGAAGCAGCAAGAAGAGAGAAGUCUCUCAGCCUCCCUCUCCUUUGUUUCUUUUCCACAUCAAAAGGCUUUUCUCUGUUUUUAUUUAUUUUUACAUAUAAUAGUACUAAAAUGAAUGUUUUGGUGGUUGUUUAUGGAAUUAUUAUUCUCUUUCUCUGUACAACUUUGAAUCUGGUUCUUGCUGGUAUGAAUGAAUGAAUUUUACUUUUCUUCUUUCCCAUCUUUUGCCUUUUGCGGGAUGUAUAAGCCUUUUCUUUCCUUUUUUUUUGUGUGUCUGUGUGUCAUUGUGCGUCUGAUGGCCAUGAUGAUGAAGAGAGAGAAAGAGAGAGAGAGAGGUUGGCCACUUUCUCACUCAAUAUGGCUAACUUCAACUAACUUUACUUGAAUGGGAAAACUAUUAGAGCAUCUUCAUUCUUUUUUCUUUUUUUUCUUCUUUUGGGUCGAAAUAAGAUUUCAUUAGAGACGGAGGAAACUUCAGGGAAAACAAAGGAAAACAGGCUUUAGGCUUAAAGAGCACAAGUGAUCGAGACUUCAAGCGUAGCUUUGGUCGCCGUACUCAAAUGAAAACCCAAAGCCCGAGCAGCUUCCUAGUGAGGACAGUGAAGACCAUCGAUGGACAAAAUAUGAACGAGAACGGAUGGGGGUCUGGGAACCCAGACGUUCGGACACAUCCCCUCUUUUACAAUGCAAUGCAACCCAGUUAGCUAUAGAGUUCGCUUGGCCGGUGAUCGAACUCCAAUUAAGAAACUGGAAACGAUGGCGGAUAUUACAAAUUUGGAUUAUAAUGGGAAAAAUAGUCAAAGUAGCCUGUUUUGUUCCUUCGUUGAUAUUUUGAAUUAGUUGUGAAAGGUUAUUUUCGAUGGUAGUUUCCAUAGCAAGGAGAGCAGUACGCACCUCAGCUUCAAGGGAGUAAUAGCAGUUCCCCUUCCACCCUGAUCCACCAGGAGCCAGCUAGAUGUAUCCCUAAUAACCACCCCGAGCCCCAUGUGCCGAUAUGAUUUAGUCCAGGAGCCAUCACAGUUAACUUUGACAAAAUUGGAUGGAGGGGGAGACCACAUGGCAGGAGGACGAGAUCCCGGGGGGGGGAGGGAGGCGGAAAGUGGGCAGUAGAGGCACCGAUGAACUAGUCAGAGGCCACGGAUGCCAGCCUCAAAGUUCUAUAGGGGGAAGGUACCAAGUUGUAAAAACUACAAUGACCGAUUUUCCAAAUUUCUCAGUAGAUAAAGAGAGCCAAAGUUAAUACCCUAUUCAAAGCAGCACCGUUUCCGUCGAUGACCUUAGAAACAGCAAGCAACAGCUUGACGAUCAAUGCGAUAGUUUAAUCUGGAGCAAAGCAGACCGCAUAGGUCCAGGGACAUAAAAAAGGAUGCGUCCAGCUAAUUCUGGGAAUUGCAUGCACAUGGGGUAGAGGGGAUUGGCACGGAGAGAGAAAUGGAAUGGGGCCUCCAUAGUUGGAAGACAAUUAUUAACAAUUCGCCAGAAGAAAAACUUGAUAUUAAGGAGAGUGUUCAUGCCCCAUAUUUGCUUCCAGAUCGCAGGUUCAAUGAUUCUAGAACGAUGGGCAUUUCCAAUAGGAAAUUUUAUUUGAUCCCAUAUAACCUCUUUCUACACCUAACUUACUCUCAACAUCCAUAUUGUUUUUUAUUAAGCUAUCAAUAUCUCUUUAAACCCAAAUUCACUCUCUAAACUACCCUUAUAAACUCAAUUCAAUACGUAAAUUUAUCUUUACACCUAUUGAAAACAUUAAAACCCAAAAUCAGUAUUCAUGAAUGUUUUACAACUUCUAAACUUGAAAUAUGAAAUGAAUAGUUUAUUGGAAGUAUCACUAGUAGAAAAAACACUUUGCGCAACAAAAACUUGCGCGACGCAGCCAAAUUCAUCGCGCAAAGUAUGUUUGCGCGACGUUAAACACAAAACGUCGCGCAAACGGUCUUUGCGCAACGGAGACCGACGUCACACAAAAGUGUUUUGCGAGACGUAAGUUCACUUACGUCACGCAAAAUUGUUUUGCGCAACGGAGACCGACGUCGCGCAACUUGUCGUCGCGCAAAGGCCGUUUGCGCGACGUUUUGUGUGUCCCGCAAGAUUUUGGCGCCAAAUAUAGAUAGCUUUACCACUUUUUUCGUUGACUUUGUGCAACGCAAGGUCACAUACGUCACGCAAAACAGCUUUGCAUGACGCAUGUUCACUUACGUCACGCAAAACGGUUUUGCGCGACGCAACAUACGUCACGCAAAACAGCAUUGCAUGACGUAGGUGAACAUGCAUCACGCAAAGCUGUUUUGUGUGACGUAUGUGGCGUCACGCAAAGUCAACGACCUUUUCUUACUUCACUUAAUCAGUUUGGGAGGUAGAAACUGCAAACUAGUUGCAGCAGCUACCUCCCUCCCCCAUCUCUCUUCAAAACAUUCUCCAAUUCUCUCCCUUCCUCAAUCUUUUUCUAUCCGGUAAGUGAUUUGAUUUUGUAUAUGUAACUUUGAAUUGAGAAUUCAAACUAAAACUACUAAAUUUGUUUUGUACAGGAUUUUUGUAUACAAUUAUCAUUGAAGAACGAAUUUGAAGGUAUUUUCUUCAUGUUGCAUAUGGGAUUUUUGUAUAUGUACCUUUGCCUACUUGCUAUGCCCUUUUUUGGUAAUGGUUUGAGUUUUGUGAGAUUCAAUUUUGAAGUAAUCUUUAUUAAUUUUACCUAUUAGGUACCUUUGCCUGCUUGCUAUGCCCUUUAGUAAUCUUUAUUAAUUUUGCAUAUGGGUUAACUUAUAUAUUUACAUAGAAGAAAUUGUAAGAAAUGUUGGUUUCCCCUUCAAAUUUCCUUAAUUUGUGCUAUACGGUUGAAUUGAGGGUAAAUCCAAUGCACUGCAGGUAAUUAAGAAUUAUAUAGAAAACCUACAAAAGCCAUGAACUUCAAAGCUAAUCUUAUCAUCACUAUUAAGUUCUCAAUGCUAAGACAACAUGUUUUAGUUCAAUAAUGAGGGGCUUGAUUUUUGUGAGCAUAUGCCAUACUUAUUUAGAUAAACAAUGGCUACAAUUCUCCUAUUAAAUCCUUGUAGAAAGUUAAUAUCGUCUUCCAAUUUUAAUACAAGUAAGUAAUUCAGGAUUCAUUUUUAGUCUCAAUCCUUUGUAAACUUGAAGACAACCAAAUCAUCUUUCAAUAAGAUUUUUUAAAACCAAUAUCUAGCCAAAAUACGUGUACACUUGUGUUCAUAUUCUAACAAUACUUUUAUCUCACCAACAAAAUUACUCGAGUGUAACUAACUAGAAUAUGUAUAUUCUAUGAUAAUUAGUAUAAACAAAUAAAAACUAAGGCCAUCAACAUUAUAGUUUAGAAGUAUUAAUAUUUUGUAUCUAUUUUAUUUAGUUUCACUAGUUAUUGUGAUUUAAUUUAUUUGUAUGCACAUAUUUUUGUACAUCACGUACAACAUUGUUUUGUGUUGUACGAAGUUAAUACUACUUAACUUCGUACACUUUUUUCAAGAAAAGCUUAGUUUCCCGUUUGAGAAUUAGUUGGAUUUCGUGCAUGGAUGCAAAAGCAUGACUGCGGUCCAAUUAAUUCUUGAAUUGUCCCAUUUUUUGGACAGUUUGGGAAUUCAUAGUUAUGUGUUGUAGUUUGCGGUUCACGGAUUAGGUUUCUAUAGUGGAAAUUUUGGUAACAUUUCCUGAUGUUCUUCGAGUACACGGUGGAUAUUAUGUAUCUACGGCGUGCACUUGAAGAACUAUAAGGAGAUGCUGUCGAAAUUUGCCCGCGUCGAAAUUUCAUCCAUUGGAAUCGUAAAUUACGGCACAUAACUGUGCAUUCCUGAAUGGGAUAAGGCCCUUACCGGAGGAAUAAGGUGACAAGACAAUAGUUGAAGUUGUUGUAAUUCUUGUUCUUUUAUUGGGAUUGGAGACAAAAUGGACAGACAGUGGAUACAGAAUCAUAAUAGAUGUGAUGUUGAGUACUUGAUGGAAUAGAUGAGUUCAUUGAAUUCGCAACUAGACACAACCUAGGUUCAACUCAUAUCCGAUGUCCGUGUAGGAGGUGUAACAACUCAAUGAGGGAGACAUUCGAAAAUGUUCGAUUUCAUUUAGUAAGAAAUGGGAUGAUGGAGACCUGUACUACUUGGUAUCAUCAUGGAGAACGAUUAGACCAACUUUCGUCUUCAUAUAUGACACGAAUGGAGACUGUUGAAUCUAAUGUGGAUCCUAAUGAACAAGUUAUGGAUAUUCUAAAUGACGUUUAUCCAUACGUCUCAACCAACACCAAUGAGGAAGGGGGAGAUGACAGUCGUCCAACCAUGGACAGUGAGGCAUUCAAAAACUAUGAAAAACUAUUGAAAAAUGCCAAGCAAGAAUUAUAUCCGGGUUGCGAGAACUUUUCAGUGCUCACGGCAAUUGUGGAGUUGAUGCAUGGCAAGAUCAAGUUUCAUUUGUCAAACAAGUGUUUUGAUUACUUUUUGGGAGUUAUCAAGAGGAUGCUUCCAAAGGACAAUUAUUUACCUAAAGAUCAUAAAAGUGCCCAAAAAGUGUUGAAGGGUCUCGAAUUGGGGUAUGAAAAAAUUCACGCAUGUGUAAAUAAUUGUAUAUUGUUCUAUAAGGAGAACAUACAGUUGGAUAAAUGCCCUGUAUGCAUUGAGUUGAGGUUUAAAAUGACAUCGCAGAAUAGAAAGACCAAGAUUCCACAAAAAAUAAUGCGUUAUCUUCCAUUAAAGCCUAGGUUGCAGCGAUUGUACAUGUCGAUGCAUACGACAACCGAUAUGAGAUGGCAUAAAGAAAGACGGGUAAAUGACGAUGUGAUGAGGCAUCCUGCAGACGGAGAGGCAUGGAAAGAAUUCGAUCGGAUGUACCCUGAUUUUGCAGCUGACCCGCGAAACAUAAGAUUGGGACUUGCCACCGACGGAUUUAAUCCGUUCGGGGUUCUAAACCAAACCCACAGCAUUUGGCCGGUCGUUGUGUUUCCUUAUAAUCUGCCACCUUGGAAGUGCAUGAAAAAAGAAUACAUGAUGUUGACUGUAUUAAUUACCGAAGAUCCAAGAAAGUCCAUUGAUGUUUAUUUGCGACCAUUGGUUGAUGAGCUAAAAGAUUUAUGGGAAAACGGUGUUCGUACAUACGAUAAGUCUACUGGGCAUAUGUUCACCAUGCGAGUAGCAGUGAUGUGGACAGUAAACGAUUUUCUUGCGUAUGCAAUGGUUUCUGGGUGGAUGACUAAAGGUUAUUUAGCAUGUCCAAUAUGCAAGGAGAACGUAACAUCGUCUUGGCAUGCGAGAAAAGUUUGUUAUCUUGGUCAUCGUAGAUGGCUCCCUUGGGACAACGAGUGGCGUCACAACGAUAAAGGUUUCCACGGCACAAAAGAGACUCAACCAAGACCAAGAGAAUGGUCCAGAGAUGAGAUUUUGGAUCAGUUAAACCGUUUGGAAUUUGGUCAUUUUGGCAAAGGGGUCAGUAAGCCCAGACCAACUACACAUCUGAAUUGGAUGCACAAGAGUAUGUUAUUUGAGCUCCCGUACUGGUCAAAGUUAAAAUUGAGACACAAUCUCGAUGUUAUGCAUAUUAAGAAAAAUGUGUUUGAUACUUUGGUCGGGACAAUUCUAGACAUUGAAGGAAAAAUGAAGGACACGAUCGAAGCUCGCCUCGAUUUGGAACAAAUGGGCAUUAGAUCAUCCUUGUGGAUGAAGAAAGUUGGUGGUACAUUGAAGAAAGGCCAUCCUUUUUUUACAGUUAAGCCGAAUGGGAAGAAAGAGUUUUUCAACUUUAUUUCUUCUGUAAAGUUUCCAGAUGGGUAUGCUUCUAAUAUCUCGCAUUGCGUGAACGUAAGUGGGUGUAAAUUUUCAAACAUGAAAAGUCAUGACUGUCAUGUGAUACUCCAACGCCUUCUAUCAGUUGGUAUUCGACACUUAUUGCCUUUUGAUGUGGUGAAACCAAUAGUGUUGUUGUCGAGAUUUUUUUCACAGUUAACUGCAAGGUGUUUGCGGAAGUCGGAUGUUAAACAAUUGUAGGACGACAUUGUGAACGUCUUAUGCAAGUUCGAACAGAUAUUUCCUCCAGCUUUCUUUACAAGUAUGAUUCACGUGAUGAUUCACUUGUCAGAUGAGGCAUUGCUUGCC
rnacentral:lncRNA from 1 species